rnacentral:tRNA from 1 species
ACCUGACUGGCUCAGAUGGUAGAGCAUGUGACUCUUGAUCUUGGGGUUGUGAGUUCAAGCCCCAUGAUGGGUG